rnacentral:rRNA from 1 species
UACUAAGACCAUGCCACCCUGAACAAGCCAGAUCCCUUCUGAUCUCAGAAGUUAAGCAGGUUAGUACUUGGAUGGGAGACCACCUAGGAAGACCAGGUGCUGUAGGCU